rnacentral:rRNA from 1 species
AUGGCUCAGAACGAACGCUGCGGCAGGCUUAACACAUGCAAGUUGAACGGGAUUAUUGAGUAGCUUGCUAUUUGAUAUGAGAGUGGCGCACGGGUGAGUAAUACGUGGGAACGUACCUAGUAGUUCGGAACAACUGAUGGAAACGUCAGCUAAUACCGGAUAAGCCCUAAGGGGGAAAGAUUAAUCGCUAUUAGAACGGCCCGCGGCAGAUUAGGCAGUUGGUGGGGUAAAGGCCUACCAAACCUACGAUCUGUAGCUGGUCUGAGAGGACGAUCAGCCACAUUGGGACUGAGACACGGCCCAGACUCCUACGGGAGGCAGCAGUGAGGAAUAUUGGGCAAUGGGGGAAACCCUGACCCAAGCCAUGCCGCGUGAGUGAAGAAGGUUUUCGGAUUGUAAAGCUCUUUCGGGAGAGAAGAUGAUGACGGUAUCUCCAGAAGAAGCCCCGGCAAACUUCGUGCCAGCAGCGGC